GCCGCCUCUCCCAGAGGAGCCUUUCUUAAUUAAGGAUCCAUGUGCACCGUGCCUUGCAGGUCACAAAAGGCCUUUGUGCCAUUUAAUCCACACAGUUCCCCCAGGAGAUGAGCAGGGAAUGUAUUAUCUCCACUCCACAGAUGGGGGGCAUUUUCUCUCAGAGUCACUUUGCAAAUAAGAGAUGGAUCCUAGAGAGGCCCAAGGAUCUGCAAGCAAGCAAAUGACCAUCACCACCAAAGGAAGGUGGAGUGAAAGCCCAAGGUGCCCCAGGGCUCAGAGACAGUGUCUCUCUCAAGCAUCUGGAAGAAGUUCACUUCUUACGGAGAGAAUUUAAGCAUUUUAGGGCAGCUUUGCGAGUUGGACUUUGCAUUUCCUUUCCUCUGGCAGAUUUUUCUUUUCUUUUUUUGGAAAACCGCAAAAGAAAGUUUAAUUUCAGGAACUGAAUCCAUCAUUUAUAAAUACACUAAAGCACAGUCCACUCGAAUUGAGAGCGAGCGAAGGUACAGUAUUCAACAGAAGGACAGCUUCCUGGGGGGCCAUGGCAGAGGAGCACAUGGCCUCACCCAUAGCACCCAAUGGUCUGAAGAGACGUAGAAUAGAACAUUUUUCAGAUGUUAAAGCAAACACUGACAACUGAAUCUGACAACUGAUAAUUUCACUCUGAUGUCCUGGGAUUCUAAAAUACCCCAGUGAUGGCUGAAUCUUCCCUAUUAUAAAAAAAGAAAAAUCUAAACGCCUAAGGCUAGCCUCACCACUGUAGCCUGCCAGACGCCCCUGUUGGUCACCACUGCCUCCAGGGCCCGGCCAUGUCCCAGCACCUGGGUCAGCGCACACAGAGCUCCACUGCUCAGGGACGCUCCUGUCAGAGGCACCCGACGCCGUCAACGGGCCCCCUGUUGCACUGCCACGCUCUGCACCGGCUGAAUCCUUAGCAUGGACACACACGGGACUCUGAUUUCAAGGAGUAGGACAGACAGUCAGGGACCUCUGAGUGAAUGAACAGACCGUGUAACCCUGAAUGCAAAGACCUGAAACGGAACGUGUCCGUGACCACGUCACUGCAACUGCACACUCCGUGAGUCACCCAAGUACAGUUUUGUUUUCAAACGCUUUGUCUCUGUGGUAAACAGUUAGCUUCCAGAAUAUUCUCUCCACUCCUCGACACAUUUUAGAGCCUGCAGUUAAAACUGCUCAGUCAGGAUGGCUUAAGCUCUUCCUCUUAUUUACAGGUUUCAUUUCACAGCCACAAAAGCUGUUUUGUUGCAAUUAAAGCAAUAUUUAACUAAAAUACAGUACCUGAUUCAUGGUUUUUACACAAUUGAAUAAAAAGCCUACAGGAUAAGACUGUUUACAUCUUGUCUCCAUUCUAGGAACACAUACUUCUGACCUCUAACUUUUAAAAAACGCUGCAGUCAUGAAUUAAAACCUGAUCACCCCACUUCACAACCAACGAGACAGGCUGCUUCCAGUGGACUCCCAACACGCUGUGCCCUGGCAGGAGUAAGGCACGUGUGACAUU
rnacentral:lncRNA from 1 species